GAUGAACGCUGGCGGCGUGCCUAAUACCUGCAAGUCGAGCGAACCGACGAGGAGCUUGCUCCUCUGACGUUACCGGCUGACGGGUGGGUAACACGUGGAUAACCUACCUAUAAGACUGACAUCCCUUCGGGAAACCGGAGCUAAUACCGGAUAAUCUCCUGCACCGCAUGGUUCAAUAGUGAGAUACGGUUUUGCUGUCACUUCUAGAUGGCUCCGCGCCGCAUUAGCUAGUUGUUAAGGUGACGGCUUAUCAAGGCAACGAUGCGUAGCCGACCUGAAAGGGUGAUCGGCCACACUGGAACUGAGACACCGUCCAGACGACUAGGGGAGGCAGCAGUAGGCAACCUUCCGCAAUGGGCGGAAGCCGGACGGAGCAACGCCGCGAGAGAGGUGAAGGUCUGCGGAUCGUAAAGCACUGUUAUUAGAGAAGAACAAAUGUGUAAGUAACUAUGCACGUCGGGACGGUACCUAAUCAGAAAGCCACAGCUAACUACGGG
rnacentral:rRNA from 1 species